rnacentral:tRNA from 1 species
UAGAAAGAAGCUUGUUGGUUGAAGCAUUUAACUGUUAAUUAAAAUAUUGCGGGAUCGAAGCCCGUCUUUCUAG